UACGGAGGGUGCGAGCGUUGUCCGGAAUCAUUGGGCGUAAAGGGCGCGUAGGCGGCGCAACAAGUCACUUGUGAAAUCUCCGGGCUUAACCCGGAGCGGCCAAGUGAUACUGUCGUGCUAGAGUGCGGAAGGGGCUACUGGAAUUCUCGGUGUAGCGGUGAAAUGCGUAGAUAUCGAGAGGAACACCUGCGGCGAAGGCGGGUAGCUGGGCCGACACUGACGCUGAAGCGCGAAAGCCAGGGGAGCGAACGGG
rnacentral:rRNA from 1 species